UACGUAGGGUGCGAGCGUUGUCCGGAAUUACUGGGCGUAAAGAGCUCGUAGGUGGUUUGUCGCGUCGUCUGUGAAAUUCCGGAGCUUAACUUCGGGCGUGCAGGCGAUACGGGCAAUACUUGAGUGCUGUAGGGGAGACUGGAAUUCCUGGUGUAGCGGUGGAAUGCGCAGAUAUCGGGAGGAACACCGAUGGCGAAGGCAGGUCUCUGGGCAGUAACUGACGCUGAGGAGCGAAAGCAUGGGUAGCGAACAGGAUUAGA
rnacentral:rRNA from 1 species